UAUAGAGCACCCCCUGGCGUACGGCGCCGCCGAAGAACACGCGAUCGUCGUCGCGCGAUCGUCUCUCUCCUUCCGUACGUUACAAGUACCGCCCUCUACGGCCAGUUCAAGAACUAACGAGAGGCGGUUACCUACGACGGGACGCUCGGGCCACGCCAUAAGGAGCUUCGCCCCUAAAAUAC
rnacentral:lncRNA from 1 species